UUCCGACAGCUGUUCAGUUUCGAAGUCAGAGCUGUCGACUGCUGCUGCAAGGUACCCAAUGGACGAAUACCAGUGAAGGAAGAGGACAGAUGAAGAGGUGAAAGGAAUAUCGAAUAGCAUUAACACAAGGUUGUGUAACCACUGGAGGGGCAAGCCUUGCAAUGAACGCUGUACAGAUGCGAACCUAAGAUCUCCAGACAACGAAUAAUCUGCAGUAUAUAGGUUUCAGCCAGUACAAACAUGUAAUGGGCCAAUUAUGUGUAUAAAAGAAUACCAAACUGGUUUACUGUGACUAAAUGCUUGCUCGUCCAAUGUCGUACGGUGUAAACCUGACUUCAGUCCUUCCUUCCUUCCUUAUUCCAACCCUCUCUCUCUCUAGCAUUUCUUCUCCCUCCCGCCCCGUCUUAUUACUCUCUGUCUCUCUUCUUAGCGUCACGUCGUUUGCUUGGAUGGAGCUGACACGAACUUAGUAGUGCUGCCACGGGGCUUGUAGUGUAUAGUGGUGUGCUUUACCAGUGAUUAUUAAGUGAAGAAGAUUUUUAAUUUUGGCAUUUACAUGAAUUUUAAAAGUUGUGUGUUAAUAACUAUCUAAAUGGCGGGAAACUGUAGCCAAGUGACUCGCGCGUGCGCAGUUCUAUACGUCUAGAACGUCCGCGCAAUCUUAUUCUUUCUACCGUCCCCCCCAUUUUUUUUGUUUUUGUUCGGCGUGUUUUUAUUGGUUGUUUUUUAUUUGACGUUGUGUUGCGUGCGCACGGAAUACUACGUAAUUUUGUUUCUUCUUAAAUUGAUGAAUUGUGGUUUGUUUAACCAACUGUACUGCUAGUAUUGACACAGCCCAUCUCAUCUUUCUAUUGUAUGACAGUAUUUUAUGUAUGCAAACAAAUGCUUCUAUGCAGAUAUGUGGAGGUACAUAAGCACCUGAUGAAUGACAGUUUCUUCUGUAUGCGCCAGGAAGUUGCAUGUUUAUUUCAUUGACUUCUUUUGAUGAGAGUUUUGUGUUUACAAUAGCAGAUACAUAGAUAAAAUUUCCCGGAACUGACUGUCCACUUCUAAAAUUGUCUCUCUGCCUUCCCCUUUGUUUCUUGUGGUACACCUUUAUACCUCUAUCACCCCUCCUAGAGCUCCACAUUUAAUAAGUGCACACACCCUGUUAGAACACCCUGCUUCAUUCGACCCUUCUGCCCAGACCUUAUUUCCUUCCAUAAACAAUUCAGUGAUAGCAAAAACAAUUUGGCCAUUGCUCUCCACUGACUAAGCUUUGUACUAGUCUAGCCAGUUGCCGGAGGCAAGCCGUGAUCUAAGGAAGACAGUGAAGCAUUUGUUUGGUAUGAGGAAAAUGAAACGUCGUGAAGUUGCUUUCGCUGUAUCAGCCCUAAAUUUAUUUAUCUUUUUAAUUAUUGUGUUUUAGUAAACGGUUAAAUAAUACUGGUUACGUCAGGGUUUAACUUAUUUUUAUUUAAUCUUAUUUCGGCUGUUCUGUUUAUGUAGUGUAGUCAGGAGAAAGUUCUGAGACUGACAUUUCCAUUUCUUUCAACAAAUUAUAUGCGUCAAAUGUACAUGCAUCUUAACGACGUAUGAGGAGCUAUUAAAUGCAAUUCAGCGAAUAAACACAAUGUUAUAAGUUGUACUUUUAUACUUGCAAUGUUUCGGAAUGUAUUUUUCAAAUUGUGUGUGUCGCCAGGAAUCAUAUUUAAUGUAAAGUACAGAUGAAAGCCAGUGAGCGUAACAUAUCUCGUUUCUUCUACUCGAUAAUUAUUUAUCGAUAGCGGUGCUGCACAUUCUUUUGUUUCUAUCUUCUUCUUCGUCUCGUCUUUCAAUUCCAAGAUGGCGCCUCGCGUGUUUGAGUGUGUGUUGGUAGCGCGGCCAGUCGAACAUCCAAGAUUGCCUCAGAGGAGACGCGGUCAACAUUCAGUGAUAAUUAUUGUCGACUCAUCUUCAUCAGAGUAUUUUAUAAUUUCCGUGUCAGACAACCGUGCUUGGAAUCUCAUUUCGUGCCAGUAUUUCAACGUAAUGAAGUCUGACAUCAGGCCACAAUGACAGAUAGCUGAGAACUAGGCAUCCCAAAACAAAUUAGUAUCAACUAUUACGAGGUUAUUUCGCGUCGUUCACAGACGUUUUGCUGAAGUGUCUACUUUCUGUGAUUGUGACUCUUUUUGAUGAAAUGGCUAGUGCAGAAACUAAUUUGCUUAAAGUGUGACUUUAUACCUUCCGCACAAAAAUAAAUAUGACAGGAAACAAAAAAAUUAAACCAAUAUUCACGUUCAAAAAAACUAGUCAUAAUUAAGAAAUUCAUCUGAAAUUUCAAGAAAAAUAAUCAGUAAAGUGGCUAUUGUCUAAAACCAGGAUAAACAGUUACAAAGAAGAAUUUCAAAGUGGUACAACAAACUUGACUCUUAACUCGUGUGUUUUACAUCAUCUACACAUGGAAUAUUACAUCUGUGGCAAUUUUCGAAUUAUGAUCAAAGGCUUUGCAGGGAAAAACAUUCCUCAUCUUUACAUUAUUUAAGAAAAUAUCAGAACGUGGUAAUAAUUUCUGUGGAUUACUUUGACAGCAACCAAAAGUGACAGUUAUCAGUGACAGUGGAGAAAGGUCCGGAUAACGGAUUAGUGAUUUACAACAGUGCAGAGAUUUCUAAUAAUGACAGGACCGGGACAAAUCACGGCUCAAUUAAGAUACUGGACUUAGAAAAUCCUACCAUCGUUUUCCCGAACAUUUAACCUCGUCCUCUGGCCUACCACAGUAACCCACAUGGUUCCAGUUAACUUUUAAAGGCACCCGAUAAAACAAGUACACACAGCUACGCUACUCAACCCUUGACAAGACUCUAUGACCCUAUAGUACACUUCACUAUACCUUCUUAGUCAGAAAACAGCCCCUUUCAAACUUGGCCUACAGCUAACCCCUUUUUUAUAAAAAAUCAGGAAGCCAUUUUAUUUUAGUUUGACCUUACAGAAUUUUUUUUCAAAAACGAAACAUCAACAAUAUCAGCAAUUUUUAUUAUCCAUUUAAUCCAUCCUAAGUUGGUGACCUGAUAUAUUAAUACGUUUCUGUUCUUUGACCAAACCUGGAUUUGUUAUCCCAUCCAAAAUAUCAAUAUUUCGUUAUAAUUAAUCCCAAAAAAACAAAAGUACACUUGUGAUCAACCAUUUUGUCUGAAAUUUUGUGAUAAAAGAAUUCCAAACUUGCUGUAGGUGCUAGUGACUAUCGGUUAGUCCUGAUCAACCGUCCCGAAAAUUCAACCUCAAAGUUCCUAUUAUUUAAUAAUCACUCAGAUCCUGGCUAUUUGUAAUAAACUUAGAACUAUACUGUGCCUAUACACCAGGUAUCAAAGUUCCAGUCACGGCCAAUAAUUAAUUGUGAAUUAACCUCAAGAAAUAACGGCUCUACUACAGUUAUCCAAGCUAGGUGGAAUACCUCAAGACAAAACUCGGAUCUGCAUUCUUCCUACGAUACAGGUGUCACAACAAUUACCAUACAACAAUAUCUACAAGACACCGGAUUGUCUGACCGAGAAUUUCUCCUCCCAAGUUGAUGUAUUGAGGGGGUAUCCGCUGCUGUUGGUACUGUGGUUCUCUGGAACGCCGCUAGAGGGACGACAGCCAAUAGCAAACAGCUGCCUAACCGCUCACCGCUUAACGAAAGAAUUAAAAGAAGAAGAAGUAAAGGGGGAAAGAAGAGUGAUUUUUUAUAUUCUGCGUAUACCAGUUGUCCCACUGAGGCUGGUUUUUGUUUUUGUUAUUUAAUAACAAAGAUUCUUUUGAAGGAAGCCUUCACAAUUUGUUAGAACUUUACCUUAUUCAAGAAACUGCAUACUGAAAAAUUGUAUGUACACACUGAAGAAUGCACAAUCUGUACGGUGUAAACAAAUAGGAAUUACUGUGGCUAUAAUCAUACAAACAAAUUAACAUCUUCCAUGUGCACUAAGUGCAGUGAAUGUUUGAGAACGUUUUAAAAAGUGAAUGAGGAGUGUAGCAAAGAUUAAAAGAAUAAGAUUCGUCAAAGAAACAACACGAAUCAGUCGAAGAAGUUUGCACGUCAACUCAUUUCAUUAAGACAAACAUCGUGGUGAUAUUACAUGUGAAUGGUCGUGGACAAGAGAAAAGAUUACCAGGAGAAGAAAAUUGGUUAAACACAUAAUAAAGACGUAACUACCAGACAAGAAGACAGUACGGGAUUAAUCGAAGAACAUAACAGAAUACUUUGCAUCGCUUUCCACCCACUUUCUCCAGAAGUUUCCCUGUCGCUACGGAAUAUUUCUACCGGUCACAAACUCCCCCAAUCCAUAACCACGAUCCUACUGAGGAAAAAUCCUGCUGUCCUAAUCCACUGUUGACUGUCAAGACGAGAUCAACCACACUAUUAUUUUCCCAGCUGCUGCUGGCAGAUAAAAGCAACAAUCACUAUAAAACCCAAAUACGACGAAAUUAAUUUCAGCCAGUGUCUACAAGAUCGGUUUGUCGUGGAUUAUCUACAGAGCAACGCGAUCCUUAACACCGCCACCAACACCACCACCAACAGCAGCAACCGGUCAUCCACCUUCAACAAUUACUUCUGUGAUUCAACACGGUUUUUUGACCACACACGCGUCAACAUUACGGACAUAACGACGACUUACACGACUCCUUUAGACCUCCGAGCGACGCCGAUCCCCGACGCCUCUUCCAUGUCGGCUGACGUGCAGCAGCAGUCGGUGAGGUCCGUCUUCAAGAUGAACCCCGACUUCUGGCAGCAGGCGAGGGGACCGCCGUCGAUGCCCCCGGGGCCCAACUUGGGACAGCCGCCUACCGGGGGCGGAGGUGGAGGCGUUGGGAACGGCACCACAGCUACAGCCACUGGAAUACCCACACCCCCAGGUGCCGGAGGUGGUCUCAACAACGCCCCGAAUAAUACGGGUGUCAACAACAACCAAGGUGGCGGCGGAAAUGGAGGUUCAGGGGGUGGCUCCACAACUCCAGACUCUAAGAUGAUGACAGAGAAGCUAGUCAACGAAUUACAGAUCUUCAUGCACAAAUCGGCGAUGCAGAUGCACGCUCGGGAAGCGGUCGUGGCCCAUCGCAGCGAGGUGAAGCCCCACCAGUGCCAACAGUGUCUCAAGUCGUUCUCGUCCAACCACCAACUGGUCCAGCACAUCCGUGUUCAUACGGGGGAGAAGCCGUACAAAUGUUCGUAUUGCGACCGCCGCUUCAAGCAGCUUAGCCACGUGCAGCAACACACCCGACUCCACACCGGUAAGUACAGACAGCGAAGUCGUGAAGGCUCUUUCUGUAACCACUUGGUCAGAAGCUGCGUACAGGGUUUUAUGAUCGCUGAGCGCAGGUGAGUUUCAGGAAGAAUUGCGAAUAUCUCAGGGAGAUUCAUAAUUGUUCAAGAACUGAGUACAGGAGGCUUUGAUAUUUAAAGUAAAAGAGUUUUUAAUACUCUUCGAGUUAGUAGACUUUAACAAUUUAUCAGGGAUUAAAUGUAAUCGACUUUUCUAAUUCCUACAUACAAAUGAUAACUAAGGAACUGGGUUAUAAUUUUCGGAUGGUGUAGUGGAAUGGUUUUGAUUUUCUUCCAAUGGGCCCCCCCUUAACAUCUAUCGCUACAGAUAUUUUUACCUUUACUAUUGAGAAACUUAAUUUCUGAAUGAUCCUUACUUUUGUCUAAAUGUAUAAAACCUGCUGGUCAUUUACAGUCUGUGCUCUAGUAAUUGUGUUACACCCUACGACUGCAAUAAGAUUUAGACGUGACACGUAACGUCAGCUUUCGAAAUCGAAUUGUUUAUUUAAACGUUCAGUCACAAAAUACUGAUAUGUGGUGGACUGUACUUGAAACGGAGUACAAUGAUUUCUCAAUUCGAUUUGUAAGUGGAUUUGGUUGUGCUCCACUUGGAAUAUUACAUUUUUACUAGAAUGGUGCAAUGGUCACUGAGUUAUCUCGCUUUACAUGUGGCCUUCAUGGUUGAAGGAAAAUAAACUUUUAAGUACAUGGAUCAUAAAUUAUUUGAAUUUGGACUCAUUUACUAUUUAAAUAAGUUCUAUGUGAUAAGGUUAUAGUACAGUUUUAUGUUUUAGAAACUUGUUUAUAAAGAUGACCUAUCUUAAGAUAGCGCUUAAAAUAAUGUACACUGACCUAUACAAUUU